UACAGAGGGUGCGAGCGUUGUUCGGAAUUAUUGGGCGUAAAGGGCGCGUAGGCGGUGCGGUAAGUCACCUGUGAAAUCUCCUGGCUCAACUGGGAGCUUGCAGGCGAAACUGCCGUGCUGGAGUGUGGGAGAGGUGCGUGGAAUUCCUGGUGUAGCGGUGAAAUGCGUAGAUAUCAGGAGGAACACCUGUGGCGAAAGCGGCGCACUGGACCACAACUGACGCUGAGGACGAAAGCUAGGGGAGCAAACAGG
rnacentral:rRNA from 1 species